GAAGUUAUAGCUCAAUGGUAGAGUGCACGCUUAGCAUGCACGAGGUCCUGGGUCCAAUCCCCAGUACCUCCA
rnacentral:tRNA from 1 species